rnacentral:rRNA from 1 species
AGAGUUUGAUCAUGGCUCAGAACGAACGCUGGCGGCACGCUUAACACAUGCAAGUCGAACGGCAACAGGUCCUUCGGGACGCUGGCGAGUGGCGAACGGGUGAGUAACACGUGGAGACCUACCCUGGGGUGGGGGAUAACAACUAGAAAUGGUUGCUAAUACCGCAUACGCCUUACGAGGGAAAGAUUUAUUGCCCCAGGAGGGUUCCGCGUCGGAUUAGCUUGUUGGUGGGGUAACGGCCUACCAAGGCGACGAUCCGUAGCUGGUCUAAGAGGAUGAUCAGCCACACUGGGACUGAGACACGGCCCAGACUCCUACGGGAGGCAGCAGUGGGGAAUAUUGCGCAAUGGGGGCAACCCUGACGCAGCGAUGCCGCGUGGGUGAAUAAGGCCUUAGGGUUGUAAAGCCCUUUCAGUGGGGACGAUGAUGACGGUACCCACAGAAGAAGCCCCGGCUAACUCCGUGCCAGCAGCCGCGGUAAUACGGAGGGGGCGAGCGUUGUUCGGAAUUAUUGGGCGUAAAGAGCGCGUAGGCGGCUUGUUAAGUCAGAAGUGAAAGCCCCAGGCUUAACCUGGGAACUGCUUUUGAAACUGGCAGGCUA